rnacentral:lncRNA from 1 species
AAAAUCGCAUAUACCUACUGGUAAACCGAGUGAAGUCAUAAUAUUUUCGUUCACAAAUCGGAAGCUUUUCGCUGCAAACGUUAGGUUUUUGUUUUCGUACUUCGUCAAUUUUUCACGUUUUCUAGUGUAGUUACGGAUUUUUCUCAUAUCGAAUGAAAAGAAUCUAGCAACCGAUCCAUAUCGACUAGAAUGGUGUUGCACGGAUUGUUAACGUUUGCAUCUUCCCUGGCCAUCGGAGUUGUUGCCGUAGUAGGAAUAUGCUACACUGUGAAUUAUCUCCACGGAAUCAUGCAAGAGGAAGAGCACAGACGACGGCCACCAACGGGAAGCUAUCGCUCACACAAGCAAUGGGAAGGCUAUUCGGAUGAUUCGGUCCACUGCACCAUUUGUUUGAGUUCGAUUCGAGAAGGCACCCCAAAAAUGCUGCCUUGUGGUCAUCUCUUCCACAACAAUUGUAUCAACGGCUGGAUGCAAGAAUCGAAAAAAUGCCCGAACUGUAGAAUGCCGUUGUAAACAGUAGACUAAUGAGAACAAUUUUUGUUACUAUGGAACUGAAUCUAGAAAAUAGGAGCAUAUAAAAGCAAUACAGUUAGAUGUGUAUAAUUUGCUUCCUAUUAUUUUUUAGUUUUUUUUUCGCUAGACUUGUAAUCCUUCACAAUCGUGUUUAGUUAUGUAAUGAUUCGAAAAAUAAAAUUUUAAAAUUACGGUGAAUA